rnacentral:rRNA from 1 species
AAUGGGCGAAAGCCUGACGCAGCCAUGCCGCGUGUGUGAAGAAGGCCUUCGGGUUGUAAAGCACUUUCAAUUGGGAGGAAAGGUUCACGGUUAAUAACCGUGAGCUGUGACGUUACCUUUAGAAGAAGCACCGGCUAACUCCGUGCCAGCAGCCGCGGUAAUACGGAGGGUGCGAGCGUUAAUCGGAAUUACUGGGCGUAAAGCGCGCGUAGGUGGUCUGUUAAGUCGGAUGUGAAAGCCCCGGGCUCAACCUGGGAACUGCAUCCGAUACUGGCAGACUAGAGUGCGGGAGAGGGAGGUAGAAUUCCAUGUGUAGCGGUGAAAUGCGUAGAUAUGUGGAGGAAUACCAGUGGCGAAGGCGGCCUCCUGGCUCGACACUGACACUGAGGUGCGAAAGCGUGGGGAGCAAACAGGAUU